rnacentral:rRNA from 1 species
AUAAUGGGUCAGCGACUUAUAUUCUGUAGCAAGGUUAACCGAAUAGGGGAGCCGAAGGGAAACCGAGUCUUAACUGGGCGUUAAGUUGCAGGGUAUAGACCCGAAACCCGGUGAUCUAGCCAUGGGCAGGUUGAAGGUUGGGUAACACUAACUGGAGGACCGAACCGACUAAUGUUGAAAAAUUAGCGGAUGACUUGUGGCUGGGGGUGAAAGGCCAAUCAAACCGGGAGAUAGCUGGUUCUCCCCGAAAGCUAUUUAGGUAGCGCCUCGUGAAUUCAUCUCCGGGGGUAGAGCACUGUUUCGGCAAGGGGGUCAUCCCGACUUACCAACCCGAUGCAAACUGCGAAUACCGGAGAAUGUUAUCACGGGAGACACACGGCGGGUGCUAACGUCCGUCGUGAAGAGGGAAACAACCCAGACCGCCAGCUAAGGUCCCAAAGUCAUGGUUAAGUGGGAAACGAUGUGGGAAGGCCCAGACAGCCAGGAUGUUGGCUUAGAAGCAGCCAUCAUUUAAAGAAAGCGUAAUAGCUCACUGGUCGAGUCGGCCUGCGCGGAAGAUGUAACGGGGCUAAACCAUGCACCGAAGCUGCGGCAGCGACGCUGAUGCGUUGUUGGGUAGGGGAGCGUUCUGUAAGCCUGCGAAGGUGUGCUGUGAGGCAUGCUGGAGGUAUCAGAAGUGCGAAUGCUGACAUAAGUAACGAUAAAGCGGGUGAAAAGCCCGCUCGCCGGAAGACCAAGGGUUCCUGUCCAACGUUAAUCGGGGCAGGGUGAGUCGACCCCUAAGGCGAGGCCGAAAGGCGUAGUCGAUGGGAAACAGGUUAAUAUUCCUGUACUUGGUGUUACUGUGAAGGGGGGACGGAGAAGGCUAUGUUGGCCGGGCGACGGUUGUCCCGGUUUAAGCGUGUAGGCUGGUUUUCCAGGCAAAUCCGGAAAACUAAGGCUGAGGCGUGAUGACGAGGCACUACGGUGCUGAAGCAACAAAUGCCCUGCUUCCAGGAAAAGCCUCUAAGCAUCAGGUAACAUCAAAUCGUACCCCAAACCGACACAGGUGGUCAGGUAGAGAAUACCAAGGCGCUUGAGAGAACUCGGGUGAAGGAACUAGGCAAAAUGGUGCCGUAACUUCGGGAGAAGGCACGCUGAUAUGUAGGUGAAGUCCCUCGCGGAUGGAGCUGAAAUCAGUCGAAGAUACCAGCUGGCUGCAACUGUUUAUUAAAAACACAGCACUGUGCAAACACGAAAGUGGACGUAUACGGUGUGACGCCUGCCCGGUGCCGGAAGGUUAAUUGAUGGGGUCAGCGCAAGCGAAGCUCUUGAUCGAAGCCCCGGUAAACGGCGGCCGUAACUAUAACGGUCCUAAGGUAGCGAAAUUCCUUGUCGGGUAAGUUCCGACCUGCACGAAUGGCGUAAUGAUGGCCAGGCUGUCUCCACCCGAGACUCAGUGAAAUUGAACUCGCUGUGAAGAUGCAGUGUACCCGCGGCAAGACGGAAAGACCCCGUGAACCUUUACUAUAGCUUGACACUGAACAUUGAGCCUUGAUGUGUAGGAUAGGUGGGAGGCUUUGAAGUGUGGACGCCAGUCUGCAUGGAGCCGACCUUGAAAUACCACCCUUUAAUGUUUGAUGUUCUAACGUUGACCCGUAAUCCGGGUUGCGGACAGUGUCUGGUGGGUAGUUUGACUGGGGCGGUCUCCUCCUAAAGAGUAACGGAGGAGCACGAAGGUUGGCUAAUCCUGGUCGGACAUCAGGAGGUUAGUGCAAUGGCAUAAGCCAGCUUGACUGCGAGCGUGACGGCGCGAGCAGGUGCGAAAGCAGGUCAUAGUGAUCCGGUGGUUCUGAAUGGAAGGGCCAUCGCUCAACGGAUAAAAGGUACUCCGGGGAUAACAGGCUGAUACCGCCCAAGAGUUCAUAUCGACGGCGGUGUUUGGCACCUCGAUGUCGGCUCAUCACAUCCUGGGGCUGAAGUAGGUCCCAAGGGUAUGGCUGUUCGCCAUUUAAAGUGGUACGCGAGCUGGGUUUAGAACGUCGUGAGACAGUUCGGUCCCUAUCUGCCGUGGGCGCUGGAGAACUGAGGGGGGCUGCUCCUAGUACGAGAGGACCGGAGUGGACGCAUCACUGGUGUUCGGGUUGUCAUGCCAAUGGCACUGCCCGGUAGCUAAAUGCGGAAGAGAUAAGUGCUGAAAGCAUCUAAGCACGAAACUUGCCCCGAGAUGAGUUCUCCCUGACUCCUUGAGAGUCCUGAAGGAACGUUGAAG